rnacentral:rRNA from 1 species
AUUGAACGCUGGCGGCAUGCCUAACACAUGCAAGUCGAACGCUACUUGAGGGGCAACUCUUAAGUGGAGUGGCGGACGGGUGAGUAAUACGUAGGAAUCUGCCUUAGAGUGGGGGAUAACCUGUCGAAAGACGGGCUAAUACCGCAUAACCUCUACGGAGCAAAGGAGGCUAGCAAUAGCUUUCGCUUUAAGAUGAGCCUACGUCGGAUUAGCUAGUUGGUAGGGUAAAGGCCUACCAAGGCAACGAUCCGUAGCUGGUCUGAGAGGACGAUCAGCCACACUGGAACUGAGACACGGUCCAGAAUCCUACGGGAGGCAGCAGUGGGGAAUAUUGGACAAUGGGGGAAACCCUGAUCCAGCAAUGCCGCGUGUGCGAUGAAGGCCUGCGGGUUGUAAAGCACUUUCGGUGGGGAAGAAAUACUCAAAUUUAAUACAUUUGAGAGCUGACAUUACCCAAAGAAGAAGCACCGGCAAACUCUGUGCCAGCCGCCGCGGUAA